rnacentral:rRNA from 1 species
AUGCCGGUCCUACGCAUUGGGACCUCCAUUAAAAUUGGUACCGGAGCUGGCACCCUAUUUUGGCUAGAUCGAUGGGUAGCGACCCAUCCCUUUGCGAUCCGCUUUAAUGCGCUCUUCACGAUUUGCGCCCGCCCACAGCUAUCUGUGGCCAUGGCCUUAGCGGAUUUGGGCGCUAUUGCCUUCCGCCGCACCUUCGGGACGGUGGAACUCGAGCAAUGGAAUGAAUUACUCGAGUGUAUUGCCUUGCACCCCUCCUCCGUGGAUCCUGACUCGCUAUCUUGGCACCUCGAGUCAAGUGGCAGAUUCUUGACUAGAUCCCUCUAUCGGGCGAUUGCUCCCACUCCGGGCCCAGUGGAACUAGCGGUCCUUUGGGAGAUCAAACUCCCCUUGAAAAUUCGCAUUUUCCUCUGGCAAUGGGUCUGCGGUCGCCUUCCUUCGGGUACGGAAGUCCGCAAACGUAACGGCCCCGGGGAUGGCCUAUGCCCCAUCUGUUUGGUUCCGGAAGACUGCAAUCACAUCUUCUUCCGGUGCCCUGUGGCGCAGUUCCUUUGGAGCUGCUUUCAGGAGGUGGUGGGUGGCAAUUGGUGCCGCGACAACCUCCCGGACCUAUUUUGGGAGGUUCUUAGACUCCCCGGCUAUAGCCCCCCCCCACCUGGGUGGCCCUGGGCACGCUUGCGUGGACCCUCUGAUGUAACUGUAAUAAACUAG